UACUUUAAUUUCUCAAUUUUUACUUUCUUCAAUUUUAUGCUAAAUUUUUGUGGCAUUUAGUCUAAUCUUAGUUCUAUUGUUUGUCAUGGAACCGGUGACAUCGUGCAACUCCACUGAGAUCGAACUUUGCUUCACAAAUGAAUCAACAAUAUGAUUUUCAAUCUCAUUUUUGCUAUCUCCCAUUCCGGUUUGUAUAACAGCUACUGGUGUGAUACCUCAUUCGCAAUAGGAGAUUGUGGUGAUGCUAUUAAGAUUGCACCCGAAUCAGAACAUGUACCUUCGGUCGAGCUGAUGAAGGAGAAGGAUUCUGAGAUGGGUGCUGAUACCUGGGGUUGAAAUGGUUAUUGAUUAAUUUGGAAAAUCUAACAUAUUUUUAAGAUAAAAUCUCCAAACAGUUUAGUUGAACAAAUAUGUUAAAACAAGAUAAAAAGUCUUUCAACUAAAACAAGAAAGCAAAUGUCUCUUUGUUGUCUGAAUCUCUAUAGUUGGACAAAUAUUAAGGUUUGGAAACCUAUAGUUGAAAAAACAGAAUAUGGCACUACUGCUCAACUUUGGCUAAGGCUGCUGCUGGAGUGUAUGAAGCGCAUAUGCAAUUUGAAUUUUGGUAUUGUUAUUCAAAAUUAGCACUUACUUCUUUAUCUAAUUAUUGUAACUUUUAAAGUAAAAUUUGAUACAACACUGAUUCGUCGAUGUCAACACUGCAUAUUGAACCCAAACUUUUAUACGGAAAGAAUGUUAUGAUUGCAGAGUUUUCAUGUUGUGGUUUAUGAGUUUAGUAGUAAGUGGUUUAUGUAAAUUAUAUUUAGUGAGAAGGUUUUUUUUUUUUUUUCUUCAUCAUCAAUAUAGGAGAUUCUUAU